GACAGAGGCCUCGAGCGUUAGGCGGAAUCACUGGGCUUAAAGCGUGUGUAGGCGGACCUCUAUGUACCUUGUGAAAUCCCACGGCUCACCCGUGGAACCGCUGGGUAUACUGGGGGUCUUGGGCCACUCAGGGGGCGACUGGAACAAGCGGUGGAGCGGUGAAAUGCGUAGAUAUCGCUUGGAACGCCGAAGGUGAAAACAGGUCGCUGGGAGUGCGCCGACGCUGAGACACGAAAGCCAGGGGAGCAAACGGG
rnacentral:rRNA from 1 species